rnacentral:rRNA from 1 species
CUCCAUGUGUAGCGGUGGAAUGCGUAGAUAUAUGGAAGAACACCAGUGGCGAAGGCGGCUCUCUGGUCUGCAACUGACGCUGAGGCUCGAAAGCAUGGGUAGCGAACAGGAUUAGAUCCCCUGGUAGUCCAUGCCGUAAACGAUGAGUGCUAAGUGUUGGGAGGUUUCCGCCUCUCAGUGCUGCAGCUAACGCAUUAAGCACUCCGCCUGGGGAGUACGACCGCAAGGUUGAAACUCAAAGGAAUUGACGGGGGCCCGCACAAGCGGUGGAGCAUGUGGUUUAAUUCGAAGCAACGCGAAGAACCUUACCAGGUCUUGACAUCUAGUGCAAUCUGUAGAGAUACGGAGUUCCCUUCGGGGACGCUAAGAC